CGGGUGGACCAAAAAAAGGAGCAUCUCGUCGGGGGAGACCGGCUGCGGCGUGAGAUCCCCCAUCCGCCCUGCCCCUCCCCCCCCCCCCCCCCCGCGCGCGGGGAUCCCGUCUCCCACCACUCCCGCAGACCUAUAACAAAGGGGAGGAUUUCUUUUGGCCACUCUUUUUCUGAACUAAAAAAGGAAGAAACUAGUCACUGGAAGUUUCAUUGUUGCACUGGAGGCAUGGGCUCUGCUGCUGCUGCUGCUGCUGUGCCUGCUGGAGAAGAUUCUGCUAGUCCUGGCCGUGCUGCUGCUCGGAGCAGAAGCCCGGCUGGAACUGCAAUGGUGUUUCCAUGUCAGAGGCGUUAAAGCCAUAGUGUGGACAAAUAGAGGGGUAAGGGGAUAAAAAGGGCCAGUUGUAUGUUAAUAGUUUGCUGGUCAGUACGCUUGUCUGGCUAUGCCCUGUGCCUGAUCAGCGCAGUCUGUCCUAUCUUCUUAUUAAAUUCCUUUCUAACUCUU